GCUUGGGUGGUUUAGUGGUAAAAUUCUCGCUUGCCAUGAGCGAGUCAAUCGCGACGGUUGCGGGAGCCCGGGGUUCGAUUCCCCGUCCAAGCA
rnacentral:tRNA from 1 species